rnacentral:lncRNA from 1 species
AUUUAAUUCAAAUUAAAAAAAUAAUCUAAAUUAAAUCAAAUAUCAUGAUUUUAAAUUAUUUUUUAUUUUUUUAUUCCCUAGCAAGAGAAAGAGAUCCCAGAAUCAUAGUCGAUGCCAGUGAGAGAUUCGCAAUCACAGGCAGAUUUGUGGUAUCCGUAUAUUAGAACAAAUAUAUGCAAAUAUGCAAUGCAGAGACCCAGGAGAGAGAACAAAUGUAUUAUAAUAUAUGUACGGUCGUUUGGUUUCUGAUUUUAGCAAAGUCGGGCCAACAGUUCUACUUUUGUUUUUUUCUAUCUUCAUUUCGUUGUCACAUGCCUUUAUCUCUUUCGGGACCCUGGGAUCCUGAUUCCUUUCCCACUGCAGCAGAGGCUGAAACGGCCAGGGAUGGAAUGGAAUGCUUGCUCGUGUUUCUUGGUUUUAACCUGAUUAUUUCAUUCGUUAAGAUGUUUUUAUAAUGUAACCAUUGGGGUUAUAUUAGAUUUUCUGAUGGCAUAUAUAAAGCUGGUGUAGAUGAUUUGAAUUUGAUUAAAUCUGAUUUAAUUAUUAAAAAAGCUAAUAAAUGAAACUUGUUCAAUUUGAAUCCAAAUGAUUAAAAAAAUUAAUCCUUUUAUGCCUAAAUUAAUUGGUUACCAGUUAACUUGAUCAAAGUCAACACAAUGGAGUCAUCUAAAUAAGACAUAUUUAGAGAGUCACGUCACCCACUCCCAAAAAAAAUAACCUUCCUUGUUCAAUAUUUAGAAGUCUUCAAAAAUAUAAUCAUGAAGUGAGAGAAUUCACUGAUAAAUGGAGAAAAUCAUGUGCUAGAAAUAAAUGUGAGGUUUUUCUUAUGAAUGGCACAGCGUACGUGUUAUGGUGCUUUGAAAUUAUAAAGGAACCAUACCAAUGUAAAUGGGUCCUAACUGCUUUGAUGAUUAUCCAAAUUCAAACUAAUACCUCUUUCCAAGGAAAGUUCACAACUUUCUUUAAUUGUUUAUAAUUAUUUAUCCACACGAAACACGCUCUUGAAUUGUUUAUAAUCAUUUACACUAUAA